rnacentral:misc_RNA from 1 species
GAUGAAGAACGUAGCGAAAUGCGAUAAGUAAUGUGAAUUGCAGAAUUCAGUGAAUCAUCGUAUCUUUGAACGCACAUUGCGCCCGCCAGUAUUCUGGCGGGCAUGCCUGUUCGAGCGUCAUUUCAACCAUCAAGCCCCAGGCUUGUGUUGGAGCCCUGCGGCUGCCGCAGCCUCCCAAAACCAGUGGCGGGCUCGCUAUCACACCGAGUGCAGUAGUUUACUCUUCGCUCAGGGCGUGUGGCGGGUGCUAGCCGUAAAACCCCCAACUUCUCAAGGUUGACCUCGGAUCAGGUAGGAAUACCCGCUGAACUUAAGCAUAUCAAUAAGCGGAGGA